GGGUGAUCUGCCUCGCACUCUGGGAUAAGCCUGGGAAACUGGGUCUAAUACCGGAUAUGACCUUACAUCGCAUGGUGUUUGGUGGAAAGAUUUAUCGGUGCGAGAUGGGCCCGCGGCCUAUCAGCUUGUUGGUGGGGUAAUGGCCUACCAAGGCGACGACGGGUAGCCGGCCUGAGAGGGCGACCGGCCACACUGGGACUGAGACACGGCCCAGACUCCUACGGGAGGCAGCAGUGGGGAAUAUUGCACAAUGGGCGAAAGCCUGAUGCAGCGACGCCGCGUGAGGGAUGACGGCCUUCGGGUUGUAAACCUCUUUCGACAGGGACGAAGCGCAAGUGACGGUACCUGUAGAAGAAGCACCGGCCAACUACGUGCCAGCAGCCGCGGUAAUACGUAGGGUGCGAGCGUUGUCCGGAAUUACUGGGCGUAAAGAGCUUGUAGGCGGCUUGUCGCGUCGAUCGUGAAAACUUGGGGCUCAACCCCAAGCUUGCGGUCGAUACGGGCAGGCUUGAGUACUUCAGGGGAGACUGGAAUUCCUGGUGUAGCG
rnacentral:rRNA from 1 species